rnacentral:lncRNA from 1 species
GUGUUUAAAAGACGAGAUUUCAUAUACGAAUCAGAGAACCAAAUACAAUAAUUUAGGCUCAAGAAGCGGUAAAUCAACAGAAACUGAUUUUCAAAUUCCACAAGAGGUUCAACAGAAAUAACCUCAAAUGACUUUUUUAUUUGGGCGUGUUUUUAAAAUACUCAAUUCUAAAAAACAAAACCCAAUCAAAAUCAAAACACAAAUCCAAAAGGAAAAUGAAGAAAAAACACUUAUAAUCCGAUAAUGUCAAGUAGAAAAACGAAAAAUCCCUAGAAAUAUAUCCAGGAAGAUGACAAACGUCACAAUUCAACCCGUGGACGAUGCUCAGUACUUGUAAUCCUUCACGUGAAGGCUCUCAGCUGCUCCAUCACCAAGCUUAGCGUCACCCUUGUAGGUUCCGAGUGUGGCUUCAGAGUUAGCCUUGCACCUCACAUACAACGCCUCUUGAGCUGCCUUGACAUUCUCCUCUUUACCUGCCCAUGUCUUCAAGGUAGACUGCUGCAACGCACGUCCGAAUGAGAAAGACAAUGACCAUGGCUUCUUGGUCUUCAACUGGUUCAUGGCGUUCAAGUUCCUGGUAGCUUCUUCCUCGCUCUGUCCUCCAGAUAAGAAGACAAUGGCUGGAACAGCUGCUGGGACGGUUCUCUGAAGGGCACGGACGGUGUGCUCAGCGAUGACUUCAGGUGAAACCUUGGGGCUGUCAGAUCCGGGAGUAACCAUGUUAGGCUUCAAGAGUGUACCCUCGAGCAAGACGUGGUGGUCGCUAAGAGCCUUGUAGCA